CCAGGCUUGGCCCUCGGAAGCAAGACACAAGCACAGGCUAGAGGAGCACUUGUGCUCUUGAAAAGAUGGAGAAUGAGAGGCCGACGUGAACAUGACAGCCCCAGUCAAGCUCCAAGCUGAACGAGGCUGCAAGUAUGACCUCAGCUUCCCCCACGCAGCGAAGAACCACCACCCUACUGAGCCCCAUCAACCUCCACAGUAGCCGGCUGUCAUUUCCUGAAACACAUGCUUGCUCCUGCCAAAGCCUUUGCACCUGUGGUCUCUUCUUCCUAGAAUGUUCUACUCAACCCCUGGAAGAAGUUGGAGAAUAAGGAAGUUAAGAAGUAAUGCAGUUGCUAUGACCACACGUUGGAACUUGUAGUGCCAGGCAAUCUACAAUGUUGACAGCUACUGAUUGGCCUCUGUCACCCCCAAACUGCUCCAGUGCAUGUAACCUCGUUAGUGACAACAGGAUCUUUUUGGUUAAGAAUCAGAGUUUUCGCAAGAACACAGACGAAAUGGACAUUGCUUGAGAUAAAAACCAUGUUCUAGAAUUGAACAUCUGUUUAAUUCCCAGGCUUAUAAUUCUAUUUCAAAUAAAUACAGAACAUAUUCUCACAUCUGUCUGCAUUAACGAUAAAAUAUGAAGUCAAUUGGAGACAGCUGCCUGGCUCAGUCAGUUAAGCAUCUGGCUUCGGCUCAGGUCAUGAUCUCACGGUUCAUGAGUUCGAGCUGCAUUGGGCUCUCUGCCAUCAGUGCAGAGCCUGCUUCAGAUUCUCCGUGUGUCUCUCUCUC